AUGUACAACAACCCUCCGCCACCGCAGGGCAUGUCCUACUACGAGCACGCGCAGAAGCGCCACCAGGAGAAGGGCUGCCUCUAUGCCUGCGUGUUCACGGCGCUGUGCUGCUUCUGCUGCUACGAGACGUGCGAGUGCUGCCUCGACUGCCUCUGCUGCUGCUGCAACUAA
rnacentral:rRNA from 1 species